rnacentral:rRNA from 1 species
AUAGCGGAGGAAAAGAAACCAACAGGGAUUGCCCCAGUAACUGCGAGUGAAGCGGCAAAAGCUCAAAUUUGAAAUCUGGCGCCUUUGGCGUCCGAGUUGUAAUUUGGAGAGACAUCUUCGGGGAUGGCAUACUGUCCUAAGUUCCUUGGAACAGGACGUCACAGAGGGUGAGAAUCCCGUGCCUGGAUGGUUGUCCAUCCCCAUUGUGAAGGGUCUUCGACGAGUCGAGUUGUUUGGGAAUGCAGCUCAAAAUGGGUGGUAAACGUCAUCUAAAGCUAAAUAUUGGCGAGAGACCGAUAGCGCACAAGUAGAGUGAUCGAAAGAUGAAAAGCACUUUGAAAAGAGAGUAAAAUAGUACGUGAAAUUGUUGAAAGGGAAGCGCUUGAGACCAGACACGGUCCGUGGUAAUCGCCCGCGCUUCGGUGCAGGUGCUCUUACCAUGACCGGUGCCAGCAUCGGUUCUGGCGGUGGGAUAAAAGGCAGGGGAAUGUAGCUUCCUCACUGGGAGUGUUAGAGCCCCUGUCACAAUGCCACCAGUCGGGACCGAGGACUGCGCUUCAGCUAGGAUGUUGGCGUAAUGGUCUUAAGCGACCCGUCUUGAAACACGGACCAAGGAGUCUAACAUCUAUGCGAGUGUUCGGGUGGAAAACCCUUGCGCGUAAUGAAAGUGAACGGAGGUGGGAACCCCGAAAGGGAGUGCACCAUCGACCGAUCCUGAUGUCUUCGGAAGGAUUUGAGUAAGAGCAUAGCUGUUGGGACCCGAAAGAUGGUGAACUAUGCCUGAAUAGGGUGAAGCCAGAGGAAACUCUGGUGGAGGCUCGCAGCGGUUCUGACGUGCAAAUCGAUCGUCAAAUUUGGGUAUAGGGGCGAAAG